rnacentral:tRNA from 1 species
GGAGAGGUGGCUGAGCGGCUGAAAGCGGUGGGUUGCUAACCCAUUGUCCUGCCGUUGGUGGGACCCCCCCGGGUUCGAAUCCCGGCCUCUCCGCCA